AACAAACGCUGGCGGCGUGCCUAACACAUGCAAGUCGUACGAGAAAGGGUCCUUCGGGACCUGAGUAAAGUGGCGCACGGGUGAGUAACGCGUGGAUAAUCUGCCCUUCAGUUGGGAACAACUCAUCGAAAGGUGGGCUAAUACCGAAUGACACUGCAAGACUUUGGUCGAGCAGUUCAAAAGAGAGCCCUCUGCUUGCAAGCCCCUCGCUGAAGGAUGAGUCCGCGUACCAUUAGCUAGUUGGCAGGGUAAUGGCCUACCAAGGCGACGAUGGUUAGCUGGUCUGAGAGGAUGAUCAGCCACACUGGAACUGAGACACGGUCCAGACACCUACGGGUGGCAG
rnacentral:rRNA from 1 species